GGAGGAGCCAAGAUGGCCGAAUAGGAACAGUGCUGUCUACAGCUCCCAGCGUGAGUGACGCAGAAGACAGGUGAUUUCUGCAUUUCCAUCUGAGUCAGAGUGACUCUACACACUUCCUGCUUCCACGUUUAGCAUCCCCAAGUGAAGAGAUAUGAAGAGUGUUCAAAAGAUGCUACAAAAUGAGAGGAGGAGAACCAGUGUGAGCUUUUAUUAUUCUGCCAGGGAAAUGUCCUGGGCAUCCUGUUAAUUGAAAUGGACAACUUCCUAGGCUCAAAAAAUCUGUCAGGUGGACUUGUUGCAGCAACAUAAUGUUAACCACAGGCACAGAUGACAUGAGUCACAUUCGCAACAUGCUGCUGGUUAAACUGAUUUAGGGAGAUAAAAAAUAAAUGUUGGAAAAUAAGCUGAUGAUCACAGAAACAUACAUUAAAAAACUUCUAAUUCAUACUGAUGAAGAACAUCCUUAGUAUUGUACUUCAUUUGCAUUCAAGGUCACAAAAGCUGUUAAUACAGAGAUCAGGGAAAAAGACAGGAGUCUUCCAAAUAAUUUAUGUUGGAUUUGAAAUGUCAGAUCCUGUAUCAAC
rnacentral:lncRNA from 1 species